rnacentral:lncRNA from 1 species
GCGGUUGUGUAGGUUGUUUCUUAGGACGUUCUGGAAUUCCCCUUCUGUAUUUCUUUUGGUUAGGGAUGGUAAUCGGAAGGGAAGGGAAGGGAAGGGAAGGAAGAAAGAAAGAAAGGAAGGAGGGAGGGAAGAAAGGAAGGAAGGAAGGAGGGAGGGAAGAAAGGAAGGAAGGAAGAAAGGAAAGGAGAGAUUAUUGAAUCCCAAUUAUAAGCCAGGCAUGGUGUUAAUGCAGAAAUGGCCCAGGCUUCUGAUCCCCAAGGCAUUAAGCAAGAUGACUACCUCCAGUACCAGAGACCGGGGCACCAUCGCAUUCAGAGAUCAGCCACGAAAGCGAAAAGAGUUUAAAGGGAUGCCCGUUGGCGGAUAACCAGAAACAAAUGGCUCCCGUCUAGGUACAGAAAACUAAAUCUCCAGGGAAACAAAAUGGUAAGAGGUUUGUCCUAUAUGCCAUCCCACACAUCCGCAGCAACCGCCAUCCAAAGAGUCUCAUCACUUUAUUUUAUCUUCCGUGACAUCCGGCAGAACCCGCUUUUCUGAUUCACCAUCGUCAGGGGGUUGCUAAAAUCUAAUAUGAAUUUUUAACAAGAAUUCUCUCUCUUCAAUGCUUGGCUUUGUGGAAGAAGACAUCUGAUGGCCUAUUUGAGUUCAGUGGUUUUAUGACUCCCAGGCACAAGGGCAAUUAUACUCAAUACUUACGGAAUAUCAUUCAUGAUGGAGAAUCUCACUGAUAUGUUUUAAAAAAUACAUAUAGUCUCAAAUUAACAUUUGCAUCACCUAAAAGAAGCAUAAGCUCUAUUGCACUUUGAUUUUACAUGUGAAGAAAGUAUCCCAGUGAGAUCAAAUAUCUUGCAAAAGCUGAGAAAGGUAGAGCUCUGUGAACACUAUCCCAGCCAGAUUUGAUGCCUUCUCUCCUCCAAGAAACUUCUGCUACAAUAGUAUUAUUACCACGGUGCUGCAUGUAUUCCUUCCUUUCAUGUGUGCUUUCAUGAAUUAUAACCACACAGAGAAAAAAUAAAGCAAUACCUCAAAAUAAAUGAAGUUUCUCA